UAGAGAGUUUCAAUGGGGUUAACCGGUAUAUUAUACGCAGAAAUGACAAAUUUUAACCGGUCGUUCUAAAAAGAUUAACCGUAAAAAUUUUGUCUGGUGACCACAAUGGAAAAUUAUCAACUGUUAGCCUUAAAUUGGCCAAAAUUUUAACCGUUGGCCGUAAAUACCAUCGGUCACCUCAUUGACAUGAUUGAUACCCUCUUUUUAGGGGAGAACUGAGGGGGGAUCGUUCGUCGCAAACAGUCUAAGGGGGGAAGGGGCAUAGAAAAUUGACUGCCAAUGAGGGGAUCUCAUCAGAAUACUACAGAGCCAUAUCCAGGAUCAUAUGGAUUACAGUGGGUCCCAAUGAGGUUAACCAUUAUCAGGUAACUUUCAUUAUGACACAACCCCUCCCCACAGGUGAAAGAUAAUGACUGGCACCUUAGUUCCACCCCCUACCGAUCAGAAAAA